AGCUCCUCCUCAUAGCAUCGCCCAGGGAUCGUAUAAGAUCGCCAAGGAGUGCCAGCUCUCUCUAACAUGCUCGCCAAUCUGGCGACAUUGAACAUGUGACGCGGUGGAGGAGCAGGAACGACGAAAGUGUCUGAGGAAUGCUGAAUAGAAACCCUCUCUCCAAGAUAUGCAACUGCUCCAUAUGUCCCUAAGAAAUAGCGAUGCUCAGCGGUAUACUGCGCGGCUAACCCAGGAACAAUCCAGCCGACCCACGGCUGGUACUGCACGUGAGGCUCUAGCAAAGAACGCCUAUCAGAUAAGAAUCCAUCAAAGGUAAUACGAAAGUGUUCAAAUAUGCAAAGAACCAUACCGAGAUGAUCUGAUCUCGAACAUAGGCUCCAGCAAAGAACGCCUAUCAGAUAAGAAUUCAUCUUGUUAACGGGCAUCAAUUGUUGAAUUUUUGUUCCUCUCUUCGGUAUUAUCUUCAAUUUUCGGUAAUCCCCUUGCUCUUGUCAUCAAUUUUCCCUAAUCUCUUUGUUAUAGGCAUCAAUUUCGUAAUUUUUGGUUGAUAGAUAUCAAAAUUUUCUUUGUUUAUUCAUUGCAUGUUCUGGGAAUUCAUCUUGAUAACGGGAUUUCAAAACGGUGGACGCAGAGAAGUCAAGAAUAUAUAUCACAGCCUUGUUCAACAUCUGGAUUCGCACAGAUUGUAUGCUCUUACUGUACUUUUGCGGCAAGAGAAGGUAAAAGAUGACUUAUCAAAGCAAGAGAGCAAGGGAAAUACUUGCUGCCACAGCUAAGUCAAAUGCUACUGAAGUUGUUUCACAACCCACCAAAAAACAAUCUACUAAGUCACCACAGACUGAGGUACUUAAGGAUGACAACUGGGGACCUUUUUCUCCACCCAUUACCACUACAAAAUCUGACCAACAACCACCCAAUAGUUUAGGAUCCAUUUGGAAAAACCCUCCUGGUUCAACAUCGAGUUCAGUCAAAGAGGCAACUACAUCAGGUUAUCAUAAUAAAUACCCAGCAAAAGUCCCACCUAAUAUCCCACCUAAUAUCCCACCUAAUAUUCCACAAUCAAAUAGACCAAACUCAUCAUUGAACUCCCUUUCUAAUUCUCAUAAACCUUCCGAGCAAGCUGUGAGACGAGGAAUUCAGAACUUGAGACUAGUGUUGUUAAAACUUCAGCAAUAGCUCCACAGAAUAAUCAAGAACGACAAAACGGUGGGAAAGAAUCAGAGAAGAUCCCGAAACAAUCUAAGUCUUUACGACCAAAAGCACUUCCGGAUUAGCCUGUAGAUAUAGAUUUUGACGACAAGGAGGAGGUUCUAACCAUAGGUGCAAAAGUUAUUUUAAGAUGUUUGGAAGGGUUGCCUUACAAAUUACUAGCUCUGAAAUUUCUAGAAUGUUCAAUAGUCUUUUUCGAUUUGGUUUGAGAUGCCAAGGGUAAUACUACAUUAGUAAGUGGUAUUAUUCUUCCAAUUGAUGUAUGGAGUAAUAACGGCGUCCAGUACUAUGUCGAAUUCAAUGAUUUAUGCCAGCCAAUUAGGAAGCGUGGACAUAAUUUGGUUAAAUUCAUUAGUAUGAUUGCGAAGAUGGAGUCACAUUGUCCAGUUGGGGAAAAAGAUUGGAAAUAAAUCGAUAGGCAUUUUAAAGGGAAAAUAAUUAAAGACAUAAGAGACCGUUUUGUGAUUCCUCCUGGUCUGGAAUAUGACAACCAAGCUCUCAAGCGUGCCAAUAAAUGUUGGAGGUAGUUCAAAUACUCUCUGAAACUGCUUUAUUACAAGCCACUAGAGAAGAAAUUGGAUGAUAUUUGUAAUAAUGUGCCACAUGGAAUUACCAGUAGUAACUGGGUUAAGUUGGUAAAAUAUUAGGAUUCAGAUUACGGGAAAGUAAGGACAAUAUUCACCUUAUUGUUUACUCUAUUAAAUGUUAUUUAAUCUCUAACUAAAAAAUCUGAAAAUGUGAUUGCAGACUAUGUCAGAAUGCGGUAAAAAGGUACGAGCUUCUCAAAAUCAGAUUCAUACAUCUGGCUCUAAAAGUUUUGCAAACCAACAAGCUGAUUAUGUGUGGAAUAUAUAUGUCAUUUUAUAUUUACUUAGGAUGUUAGUAAGAGCAAAGCCAAGUUAUAUGCGUUAUAUACUAUUGUACACAUAUUUAAUGCUUGUUUUGCCUUAUUAUUUAUAGGAAGAUGAACAUGGACAAAAAAUGAGCUUGUUAGCGCUGUGGAUUAAAACCCAUACGGGUAAAGAAGGAAAAUUUCUUUCUGACACAGUCACUCAAGAUUUUGUGGAUGAUGUUAAAGCUAAGGUUGAAGAGUUGAGGAUGGUGCACCCUAAGAUGUCUGAACAAGAGCUCAAAGAUGAAGCAUUUCAGCAAACUAUGUAUGGCGGAGAUUCCCGAUCGUCCGGUGGGUUACAGACUAGGGGUUAAAAAGGGGGACAUUUUCGGAGUACGUGGUGUGUUAAGGAAGGAAGGCUAUGGAAAAGUUAAAAAGAGGACUAUUGUGAUGGAUAGUGUUAAAGAAGAAGUGAAUGCUUUGCACAAA